UAUGUCAACUCAUUGCUCACUGAUUAGAUUAUGUUUAAGAUACAUAGAAUCCCUAUGCAUCUUAAUUAUGUUUAAGGCUCGAACAUAGGAUAGCUGGUAUUUCCCAUUCCCAGUAUUGGGUAUAUUGUCACGGAAAUAUUGGUCAUUUGUUUUCCAAUAUUCUUGAAUUUUCUAUUGUUCUGAUGGAGUAAUCAGCUUGAAAUUCUUAUUUUAUAUUCUACUCUGUUAUCUGUGAUAUGAACAUCCAAAAUCUCAAAUCCUUCUGAAGGGCCAGCAGAAUCAUAAAUGGCGGGAUCUUUUGAGGUCUGCUGUUUUAAUUCAAGACCAACUGAGGACUGUUUUUCAGAAGCUCUGGCUUUCUUUGGAGAAAACUUAUAAUGAGUAGAAAAGGCUGGAAAAAGUGAUGGUACAGCAGUGAUUUUCAGAAGUGGAUACCCAGCUCCAGGCCGAAUCUGGUAAUCACUUUCUGUGAAAUGAACACUGCAGAUUCUGGAGUGAGCUUUUGGUUCCCAAUUCUCCCUUUUCACAGCUGAUAUCCACUUAUUCAACAAUUCCGGAUUUUUGAAUGGAAAUCUGAAAUGAAUGCACCUUGACCUACAUUAACCAAAAUGGUGGACUAUAACCACACUGUAUUCAAGCGAUUCAAGUUGGCAAGAUAACCGAGGUUAUUAGUGGUUAUCCGCUUCAAAAUCGAUUUUAAUAAUAUAGGUAAUAUUUCGAUUUAGAUAAAUGUCUCCUGUCAAAAUUUUUCGGUGGCGUAGAUAAAGGGGUGUGAUGAUCCUUUUCUCAUUGAAAAUCUACGCCACUGUCUUUGUUUCUAAAAAGUUAUUGCACUAAAAUCCUAAUGCAAUAACUUUGAUGAAUUCUGUGUAAUUAGAAUGGUGUCAGUUGCUCUUAGGUUAUGGUUUAAAAAAUGAGGCAAGAUACUAUUUUUGAGAUGAUAUUG